rnacentral:rRNA from 1 species
UACAGAGGUGCCAAGCGUUGUUCGGAUUUAUUGGGCGUAAAGGGUGCGUAGGUGGUGAUGCAAGUCGGGUGUGAAAUCCCGGAGCCUAACUCCGGAAUGGCAUUCGAAACUGCAUCGCUCGAGGUCUGGAGAGGUGACUGGAAUUCUCGGUGUAGCAGUGAAAUGCGUAGAUAUCGAGAGGAACACCAGAGGCGAAAGCGAGUCACUGGACAGAACCUGACACUGAGGCACGAAAGCCAGGGGAGCAAACGGG